rnacentral:rRNA from 1 species
UACAUGGGGUGCAAACGUUGCUCGGAAUUAUUGGGCGUAAAGCGCUUAGGCGGUUAUCUACGUCGGAUGUGAAAGCCCUCGGCUUAACUGAGGAAGUGCACCCGAAACUGGAUAGCUAGAGUACGAAAGAGGGUCGCGGAAUUCCCGGUGUAGAGGUGAAAUUCGUAGAUAUCGGGAGGAACACCGGUGGCGAAGGCGGCGACCUGGGUCGAGACUGACGCUGAGGCGCGAAAGCGUGGGGAGCAAACAGG